rnacentral:tRNA from 1 species
GCAAUGAUGGUUUAAGGGUAAAAUCCAGGCUUCCCAUACUCAUAAUAGAGCUUGCCUGGGCUCCGGGUAAGCACUUCCAAAUCAUCUCAUAACUCGUUCGCUUAUUAACACCAAGCCAAGGUUCGAGUCCCGGUCAUUGCA